CCUACGGGAGGCAGCAGUAAGGAAUAUUGGUCAAUGGACGCAAGUCUGAACCAGCUAUGCCGCGUGAAGGAUUAAGGUCCUCUGGAUUGUAAACUUCUUUUAUCUGGGACGAAAAAAGGUCUUUCUAGACCCCUUGACGGUACCAGAUGAAUAAGCACCGGCUAACUCCGUGCCAGCAGCCGCGGUAAUACGGAGGGUGCAAGCGUUAUCCGGAUUCACUGGGUUUAAAGGGUGCGUAGGCGGGCAGGUAAGUCAGUGGUGAAAUCCUGGAGCUCAACUCCAGAACUGCCAUUGAUACUAUCUGUCUUGAAUAUUGUGGAGGUAAGCGGAAUAUGUCAUGUAGCGGUGAAAUGCUUAGAUAUGACAUAGAACACCCAUUGCGAAGGCAGCUUACUACGCAUAUAUUGACGCUGAGGCACGAAAGCGUGGGGAUCAAACAGGAUUAGAUACCCUGGUAGUCCACGCCCUAAACGAUGGAUACUCGACAUACGCGAUACACUGUGUGUGUCUGAGCGAAAGCAUUAAGUAUCCCACCUGGGAAGUACGUUCGCAAGAAUGAAACUCAAAUGAAUUGACGG
rnacentral:rRNA from 1 species